UUGGAGGGCAAGUCUGGUGCCAGCAGCCGCGGUAAUUCCAGCUCCAAUAGCGUAUAUUAAAGUUGUUGCAGUUAAAAAGCUCGUAGUUGAAUUUCGGGGUUCUACCGUUGGUCGGGCUUUGUCUGUACUGGUGUGUAGAAUUUCUACCUUCUGGGGAACCAUCAUGCUAUUAAUUUAGCGUGGUGGGAAACCAGGACCUUUACCUUGAAAAAAUUAGUGUGUUCAAAGCAGGCUUAUGUCUGAAUACAUUAGCGUGGAAUAAUAGAAUAGGACGGUGGUCCUGUUUUGUUGGUUUCUGAAUCACCGUAAUGAUUAAUAGGGAUAGUUGGGGGCAUUAGUAUUCAAUUGUCAGGGGUGAAAUUCUUGGAUUUAUUGAAGACUAACUUCUGCGAAAGCAUUUGCCAAGGAUGUUUUUAUUAAUCAAGAACGAAAGUUAGGGGAUCGAAGACGAUCAGAUACCGUCGUAGUCUUAACCAUAAACUAUGCCGACUAGGGAUCGGACGAUGUUAAUUUUUCUUGACUCGUUCGGCGCCUUACGGGAAAC
rnacentral:rRNA from 1 species